UGAUGACCAUAGCAAGUUGGUACCACUCCUUCCCAUCCCGAACAGGACAGUGAAACGACUUUGCGCCGAUGAUAGUGCGGGUUC
rnacentral:rRNA from 1 species